rfam:Schistosoma curassoni strain Dakar, Senegal genome assembly, scaffold: SCTD_scaffold0000301
UCCCAGCUGGUGAGUCCCAAAUGGGACUAAACGCGCGUCCUGGAU